ensembl:lncRNA
AUAUUGUAGCUAUAAGGGAACAUACAUGAUCUCCCCUACAAACAGGAAACUUCCUGAGUGAGUGAAAGUACUGUGUCUAAUAUUUUAAAAAUUUAUUUCAAGGGCUUUGACUAUCAUUGGCAUUCAUUGUAUGUUUGCUGGAGGAGAAUGAAUAAGCUCAGAAUUAGGGACUUGUUUUUUAUAUACCUUUUGUAGAGUCUAUGAUUAUGCUUAUGAUCAUCUCUGGUGAGUGUGUUUAUCUUGUUGGUGGAACCCAUGGGAAAUUCAGGUGAUUUUUUGUGUGUUUUUUUUCCUUGUCUGAGGAAAGAUGAUCACAGAGAUGUAAAAUUUUUUUCCCCCUGAAGGAUUCUGUUGAGUUCUGCACAAAACCUCCCCUGGAGAAUGUAUUCAUUUGGAGAAUGUAUUUUAUUUUCUAUUUACUUGUAAUCUAUAAAGUUCUUUCACGUCUGUUUUCAGCCUCACAACAGCAGUGAGACACGUGUGUUCUCAUUCUGCUUAUAGAUGAGAAACUUAUGACUCAGAAAAUUUAGUAACUCAAUCAAAGUUACAAGGCAACAGAAGCAGAGCCAGGCCUCAACCCCAAGUCUUCUGAUGCCAAAGCCAAUGUUCUUCUACACCACAGCUGCCUUCUGGAACCUGAUCUCUGGAACAAGAAUUGGGAACAACGACAACAUUCUGAGCUUCCCAGAAGCCUCCCCCUCAGAAGUGGAAAUAGACCCUACUGUCCUCAGUCUUUGCUCUGGGGCUCUUCUUAUGUAUCCAAAGACAAGUGGAUGUGCUCUUGCUCUGCUAAACUGUCUCCUCCAGGUCUCAAUUCUCCUCGCCCGCCAGUCUCUACAAUUGAAAAGGGGCGGCAAAGAGAUUUGUUUUCUCAGAGACAUAAACUAAUUCCUCCCCCUGUUCUUCCAACUUGAGAGGCAGAUUUGAUUAUGGGUAGUUUUGAUUAAAAACAAGCUCCACCCCCAACCCUCCACUACUAGAAUAAUAAUGUAAGGGAGCAUUGUGACGUGUUAUUGUUCUCUCUUCAUAAUGUUAUCCAUUGAUGCUAAUAUCUUUUUCUACUCCCAAAGGUUGCUGAAUAAUGUAGCAAAUAUAGUGGACUCAGAACUCUGAUAAUAAAAUGACUGAAUUCUCCAAGGCCUGGUUUUCAGUCACAAGGUUCCUAAUCUUUGCCUUCCUACUGCUAGAAAGGCCAAACUGGUUUCCCAAUCUUUAUCAGUGAAUUAUAUUGAAAGGGGACCAGGAGAGAGGAAGAUGUUGACUUUUGGGAGAAUGCGGAAGUCAUAUUGUGAAAACUACUCUUCCCUACUCAGAGAAGGACUUUGGACUUGUUUCUCUCCUUUUCCUGUACAUCUGUGGAUGUCUGAGCAAUCUGUUCCCUCCUCUCUAUUUGGUUAGGUGCUGACAACCGUCUCUUGUCCUAAAGCUGUUUCUUAUUGGACCAGCAGAGUGUUUGAUACUAAUUAGGCAAGGAGAAAGUGGUAGGGGAGACAUGGCUUAACCAGAGGGCACCUGCAUUUCCUGCCGUUUUAUUUGCAAAGAUACUUAGAUUUCCCUGCAUUGGGUGGAUGCCAAAGAAGAUGGAUGGGGUGAAAGCUUUCUUGCAGAUGUCUUCCAGAAGGACUGUGGAAGAGUAGGUCCCAGCUACAGAAAGUCUGUAGAUUGAAUUGCACAAGGAAAAGGCUGGGGAGUAGGUACAAAGAGGCCUAGUUAAGACCCUUCAGGACCCGCCAAUGAACCAAAAAAUGCACAUCCAGUCCCUGGACACCUGCUGUGCAGAGGAGGCCCUGCCGCGUUGGAAGAUAAGAGACAGCAACAGCCGUCAGAAAGGGUGUCAGAGUCGCCAGUAGCAGCUCGCUGUUUCCCAAGGACGUCCAUGUUGCCUCCUCCUUUAGCAGUUGGCUGAAGUUUUGCAGGUAAAUGCAGGCUGGAGAAUCAGAGAGGAGAAAGGGAGAAGGCAGUCAUGAGAAAGUAGACCAUGUCUUCAGUGGUGGGCUGGAAACAGUUCAUACCUGCUUGAGAGACUAAGUUUAAAUUUUCAGGAAUUUUGCCAGUUGUUCAUUGGUGAUUUGAAUCAGCCUUGGUGGGAGUACUUUAUACAGCACUCGGUAC